rnacentral:snRNA from 1 species
GUGCUCGCUCCGGCAGCGCGUGCACCAAACCCGGAAUGAUACUGAGAAGAUUAGAACGGCCCCUGGGCAAGGAAGACACACAAAUUCAUUUAAAAGAAAAAGCAGAG